AAUCGGUCGGUUUUUAUCACCGCUGUGAACUUUUCCACGAACGUAACAUCAUAACAGGUAGAAACUUCGUACAGGUAGAAACUUUCUGGUACUCGUUCUUUGCUCGUCGGGCAAAAUGUUUUCGCGAGCCGUGCUCUUACUUCUGCUCUCGUACGUUGUUCUCUGUCUGGCGGAAAAAACCACGCAAGCCCCUACAGUGAUAAAGACCACCAUGUCCGUCCCGGCGAUUCUAAUAACAGUGAUGUUUUGCGUUUCUGCACCGGUGUUAAUUGUACUCAUACCCACACUUCUCUAUUAUAAAUUCUGUGGAAAGAGCCUGAAAGACGAGAUCGUCUAGAGAAGACUAGUCAUCGAAAUUGUCGGAACAGCGUGGACAUCGUUAUUGUGAAAUCGUUAUUUAUUUAUUUAAAUUUAUUUGAAUAAUUUCAAUAAUUGUACGCACAUCCGUACACAUAAAAGAAAAACAAUUAAUUGGAAUGUUCAGACAAAAUUCCAUAUUGUUAAAUUCAACGAAUCGAGCAAUCGAAUUCGGUCCAAUUGUAAAUAUUUAUUUAAUUGGAAAUCUCAUACAAUGAGAAAAAAAAAAGUACAAUGAUCAUCGGCGCCCUCGUUGCACAAAUUUUUGUACUCUGAUUACAAGAUAAAAGCGAUAGUUUUUUGUACUUACCGUAUAAUCAUCUAGAAUAAAUUAUGCAUCGAUCCGUUGUUGAAUA